rnacentral:rRNA from 1 species
GACGAACGCUGGCGGCGUGCUUAACACAUGCAAGUCGAACGGAAAGGCCAUGCUUUUGUGGGGUGCUCGAGUGGCGAACGGGUGAGUAACACGUGAGUAACCUGCCCUUGACUUUGGGAUAACUUCAGGAAACUGGGGCUAAUACCGGAUAGGAGCUCCUGCUGCAUGGUGGGGGUUGGAAAGUUUCGGCGGUUGGGGAUGGACUCGCGGCUUAUCCGCUUGUUGGUGGGGUAGUGGCUUACCAAGGGUUUGACGGGUAGCCGGCCUGAGAGGGUGACCGGCCACAUUGGGACUGAGGUACGGCCCAGACGCCUACGGGAGGCAGCAGUGGGGAAUAUUGCACAAUGGGCGGAAGCCUGAUGCAGCAACGCCGCGUGCGGGAUGACGUCCUUCGGGUUGUAAACCGCUUUCGCCGGUGACGAAGCGUGAGUGACGGUAAUGGGUAAAGAAGCACCGGCUAACUACGUG